rnacentral:piRNA from 1 species
UCUUAUGUUGUUGAAAAUAUUUAUGUGAUC